GAUGAACGCUGGCGGCGUGCCUAACACAUGCAAGUCGAGCGGACAGACGAUGAGCUUGCUUCUCUGAUGUUAGGGGCGGACGUGUGAGUAACACGUGGAUAACCUCCCUGUAAGACUGAGAUAACUUCGGAACACCGGAGCUAAUACCAGAUGAUAUUUUGAUCCGCAGGGUUCAUAGGUAAAAGACGGUCUUGCUGUCAGUUAUAGAUGGAUACGGGCUUCAUUAGCUGGUUGGUAAGGUAAAGGCUUACCAAGGCAACGAUGCAUAGACGACCUGAGAGGGUGAUAGGCCACACGAGAACGGAGACAGGGACCAGACGACUACGGGAGGCAGCAGUAGGGAAUCGUACGCAAUGGGCGAAAGCCUGACGGAGCAACGCCGCGUGAGUGGUGAAGGUCUUCGGAUCGUAAUACUCUGUUAUUAGUGAAGAACAUAUGUGUAAGUAACUGUGGACAUCUUGACGGUACCUAAUCAGAAAGCCACGGCUAACUACGUG
rnacentral:rRNA from 1 species